rnacentral:sRNA from 1 species
CCAAAACUUUUGGUGACUACCUGUGUCUCAUUUUACUCUCAUUUACAACCAGACUUGGGAAUAACACAGAGGCUGCUGUUACCAUGGGUACAAGAGGAGGGAAUGAAGAAAUGCUGUCACCUUGUGGACAUUUUCUUCUAACAGCAACCUUAAAAUGCUUGCUGAUGGACACACUAUUCACAAGGGUGCUGAGCUCCAACUGAUACCCACCCAUGACAAAUUACCAGAGCUCACCUAAGGGGAAAAAUAACGUAAACACAGGAGAAGCUAACAGGAAGAGCAUGUGAACAGAAAUGAAGAGAUUUUGCACACAACACACCCCAAACCUCCUGUGGCACCAUUCAGAACAUUGAAGAGAUGAAAGCAAAGUUAGCAUACCUGGAGAGAGCAAUGGAUAAACAAACAUGAUACAGGUCUAGAAUGAUUUUUGAAUCAAGCAUUGAAAUAUGAACAUAGGCCGUCUUCAGAGAGAGAGAUCAACCCAGAGAUCAUCACACUGAGUGAAGGAGAGUCGACUCAAGAAACAUUAUGGGAUGCAACGGACAAUUGCUAUACAAAAAUCCAGAGCAGUUAGCACCCGCACAAAGGUGAUGUGAGCAUCCAACCUGGCAUGAAAUUUAUGGGUAGCAGAGGACCCUGGUUGCAUGGAAGGGAUACAUCUGGAAAUUGGUACUAAUUUCUUCCCAGAGAUACAUAUAACAUACAGAAUCCAUGCAAACCUAGUUCAGCAAGAGUGGUAGAUGAGACUCGUUCUAAUAACAUGUAGGUGAAAACAAGCACAGCUGAAUAUCUAGUAUUCUCAGUCCCAUGGAACAAGAAUCUGUACAAGUAAAACAAACGUGUCCUUGUCAAUCAAGGAUUGACUUUUACUUAAAAUAAAAUCCAAGUGUGAGCAGUCACCAAGUGUGAGCAGUCACCAGGUUUGCCGGCAUCCUCUGGCUCUUUCUACUUUAAUAUACAACCAGGCCUGAGUAAAACUCUCAGGCGGCACAGACCAUCCUAAAAUAGGACAGAAUAAAGAAACCCUUCAGCAUGGAAGAUUUUCUCUGCAACUGCAGCAUCAAAACUAUCGCUGAUGGACAUCUGAUAUUCACAAGGCCUCUGGACUCGACAGGACACCCACCCUUGAACAUGUCAAGGUCACACACCCAAAAUUAAAUAAAUAAACACACACACACACACAACUGGAACACUCUCAGGAAGAAAGUAUCAACAGGAAAAUACAACUCAAAGUGCUUUCUAAAAGCAAAAAGCCCAUGAAUAGUACUCCACAAGGUUUCUUAUCAGAGAUACAAACUGCCACAAGAUAUCAACUCUGACCAGUGAAAAAGGCCACCGUGGAAAACAGACCAGGCCAGAAAUGGUAGAUUAACAUUAGUCAGCGGGAUCCUUUUAUAGUAGUGAGGGUAUAUCAGCGGGAGGAGCCAGUAUAAGAAUCACUGUCCACGUGGCUUUAUAAAAAAAAAAGGUCUCACGAAUUCCGCU